CGAAUGCUGACAUAAGUAACGAUAAAGCGGGUGAAAAGCCCGCUCGCCGGAAGACCAAGGGUUCCUGUCCAACGUUAAUCGGGGCAGGUGAGUCGACCCCUAAGGCGAGGCCGAAAGGCGUAGUCGAUGGGAAACAGGUUAAUAUUCCUGUACUUGGUGUUACUGCGAAGGGGGGACGGAGAAGGCUAUGUUAGCCGGGCG
rnacentral:rRNA from 1 species